GACGAACGCUGGCGGCGUGCCUAACACAUGCAAGUCGAACGGACAGGCCCUGCUUUUGUGGGGUGCUCGAGUGGCGAACGGGUGAGUAACACGUGUGUAACCUGCCCUUGUCUUUCGGAUAACUUCACGAAACUGGGGCUAAUACCGGAUAGGAGCUCCUGCUGCAUGGUGGGGGUUGGAAAGUUUCGGCGGUUGGGGAUGGACUCGCGGCUUAUCAGCUUGUUGGUGGAGUAGUGGCUUACCAAGCCUUUGACGGGUAGCCGGCCUGAGAGGGGGGACGGCGACAUUGGGACUGAGAGACGGCCCAGACUGCAACGGGAGGCAGUAGGGGGGAGUCUGGCACAAUGGGCGGAAGCCUGAGGCAGCAACGCCCGGUGCGGGAUGCCGGCCUUCGGGGUGAAAACAGCUUUCGCCUGUGACGAAGCGUGAGUGACGGUAAUGGGUAAAGAAGCACCGGCUAACUACGUG
rnacentral:rRNA from 1 species